rnacentral:lncRNA from 1 species
AUGACUUGGGUGAGUAUCUCCAUCAACCUGGGAAGAAGAGGCGGCUAACCGCUGAUCAAGUCCAGUUUCUCGAAAAAAGCUUUGAUGUGGAAAACAAGCUGGAACCAGAGAGGAAAGUCCUGCUUGCAAAGGACCUUGGCUUGCAGCCUCGGCAGGUUGCGAUAUGGUUCCAGAACCGCCGGGCGAGGUGGAAGACAAAACACCUUGAGAAGGAUUAUGAGGUGCUGCAAGCCAACUACAAUAAUCUCAAGGCUAACUGUGAAAGCCUUUCGAAAGAGAAUGAUAAACUGAAGGC